rnacentral:rRNA from 1 species
UACGUAGGGGGCUAGCGUUGUCCGGAAUCAUUGGGCGUAAAGAGCGUGUAGGCGGUCCGGUAAGUCCGCUGUGAAAGUCGGGGGCUCAACCCUCGAAUGCCGGUGGAUACUGUCGGGCUAGAGUGCGGAAGAGGCGAGUGGAAUUCCUGGUGUAGCGGUGAAAUGCGCAGAUAUCAGGAGGAACACCAGCGGCGAAGGCGGCGCUCUGGGCCGGAACUGACGCUGAGGAGCGAAAGCGUGGGUAGCAAACAGG